UGAUCGCCUCUACUGCAGUUGCCGCCGUGAGGGACAAACAUUUUGGCCUCUGGGUUGAGGAGAAGCUCCUGAGCCAGAGCUUCCUUCAGACCUGCUUGUUGACUCCUACCUCUGAUGGCACAAAGGAUAAUGGUUUGAUUGGCAUGGUCAAUAGGGUCCUGGUGGGGAGUCUUUCUGUCCUUCCACAAGGAUGGGAAGGAACUUGUCCAGUUCAGUCAGGUCCUCGGCUGGUGGAGAGAACCCGUGCCCGGAGCACAUGUAGGCCUUUACCUGGCUACCAUUGCACGCUGAGGGAUUUGGAGUGUGUAUGGUGGGGCACAGCUGUUUUCUGUCCAGACUCUUGAUUCUGUGACACUAGCCUAAGGAACAGUUUCAGCCAUUUGUAAGCUUAUAGUAAAGAAUCCAAAAACA
rnacentral:lncRNA from 1 species